rnacentral:tRNA from 1 species
GCUCAGUGGGUUGAGCGGUUAAGCGUCUGACUUCAGCUCAGGUCAUGAUUUCGCGGUUUGCGGGUUCGAGCCCCACCUUGGGCU